GACGAACGCUGGCGGCGUGCCUAACACAUGCAAGUCGAACGAGAGCGACCGGUGUUUGCCCUGUGCAAUCUAGUGGCGAACGGGUGAGUCACAUGUGGGUAACCUGCCCAACAGAGGGGGAUAACAUGCGGAAACGGUCUCUAAAACCGCACAGGUCUUCGAACCGCAUGGUUUGAAGGGGAAAAGAGGCGCAAGAUUCUGCGGAUGGAUGCAUCCGCGGUGCAUUAGCUAGUUGGUGAGGUAACGGCCCACCAAGGCCGUGAUGCAUAGCCGACCUGAGGGGGGGAUCGGCCACCUUGGGACUGGGACACGGCCCAAACUCCUAAGGGAGGCAGCAGUAGGGAAUGUUCCGCAAUGGACGCAAGUCUGACGGAGCAACGCCGCGUGAGUGAAGAAGGUGUUCGGAUCGUAAAGCUCUGUUGUUAGAGAAGAAUAAGUUCUAGCGUAGAUGUUAGCGCCUUGACGGUAUCUAACCAGGAAGCCACGGCUAACUACGUG
rnacentral:rRNA from 1 species